rnacentral:rRNA from 1 species
AGAUUGAACGCUGGCGGCAUGCCUAACACAUGCAAGUCGAACGGGUAACAGGCCCUUCGGGGUGCUGACGAGUGGCGGACGGGUGAGUAAUGCGUAGGAAUCUACCCACGAGUGGGGGAUAGCCCGGAGAAAUUCCGGAUUAAAUACCGCAUAUGGCCCUACGGGGUAAAGCGGGGGAUCGUAAGACCUCGCGCUGGUGGAUGAGCCUACGUCCGAUUAGUUAGUUGGUGGGGUAAAGGUCCUACCAAGGCUACGAUCGGUAGCUGGUCUGAGAGGACGACCGAGCCACGCUGGGACUGAGAACACGGCCCAGACUCCGUACGGGCGGCAGC